rnacentral:rRNA from 1 species
GACGAACGCUGGCGGCGUGCUUAACACAUGCAAGUCGAGCGGAAAGGCCCUUUCGGGGGUACUCGAGCGGCGAACGGGUGAGUAACACGUGAGUAAUCUGCCCUUGGCUUUGGGAUAACUACCGGAAACGGUGGCUAAUACCGGAUACGACCAAUCACUGCAUGGUGUGUUGGUGGAAAGUUUUUUCGGCCAGGGAUGUGCUCGCGGCCUAUCAGCUUGUUGGUGGGGUAAUGGCCUACCAAGGCUCGACGGGUAGCCGGCCUGAGAGGGUGACCGGCCACACUGGGACUGAGACACGGCCCAGACUCCUACGGGAGGCAGCAGUGGGGAAUAUUGGACAAUGGGCGGAAGCCUGAUCCAGCAACGCCGCGUGAGGGAUGACGGCCUU